GACGAACGCUGGCGGCGCGCUUAACACAUGCAAGUCGAACGGAAAGGCCAUGCUUGGGUGUGUAUCAAGAGUCGCAAGCGUGUGAGUAACACGUGAGUAACCUGCCCUUGACUGUGGGAUAAAUUCAGGAAACUGGGGAUAAUAGCGUAUAGCAGGUCCUGCUGCUUGGUGGGGGUUGGAAAGUUUCGGCGGGUGGGGAGGGACUCGCGGCUUGUCAGCUUGUUGGUGGGGUAGCGGCUUACCAAGGCAUUGACGGGUAGCCGGCCUGAGAGGGUGACCGGCCAGAUUGGGACUGAGAUACGGCCCAGACUCCUACGGGAGGCAGCAGUGGGGAAUAUUGCACAAUGGGCGGAAGCCUGAUGCAGCAACGCCGCGUGCGGGAUGAAGGCCUUCGGGUUGUAAACCGCUUUCGGCAGGGACGAAGCGAGAGUGACGGUACCGGGUAAAGAAGCCCCGGCUAACUACGUG
rnacentral:rRNA from 1 species